UAGGGAAUUUUGCGCAAUGGGGGAAACCCUGACGCAGCAACACCGCGUGAAUGAUUAAGCCCUUCGGGGUGUAAAGUUCUGUCAGUGGGGACGAAACUUGACGGUAGCCAAGAAGGAAGCCCCGGCUAACUACGUGCCAGCAGCCGCGGUAAUACGUAGGGGGCAAGCGUUGUCCGGAAUGAUUGGGCGUAAAGGGCGCGUAGGCGGAUUGAUAAGUCAGUUGUGAAAGUUUGCGGCUCAACCGUAAAAUUGCAGUUGAUACUGUCAGUCUUGAGUACAGUAGAGGUAAGCGGAAUUCGUGGUGUAGCGGUGAAAUGCUUAGAUAUCACGAAGAACUCCAAUUGCGAAGGCAGCUUGCUGGACUGUAACUGACGCUGAUGCUCGAAAGUGUGGGUAGCGAACA
rnacentral:rRNA from 1 species